GACGAACGCUGGCGGCGUGCCUAAUACAUGCAAGUCGAACGCACAGUUUAUACCGUAGCUUGCUACACCAUAAACUGUGAGUUGCGAACGGGUGAGUAACGCGUAGGUAACCUGCCUGGUAGCGGGGGAUAACUAUUGGAAACGAUAGCUAAUACCGCAUAAUAUUGAUUAUUGCAUGAUAAUUGAUUGAAAGAUGCUAUUGCAUCACUACCAGAUGGACCUGCGUUGUAUUAGCUAGUAGGUGAGGUAACGGCUCACCUAGGCGACGAUACAUAGCCGACCUGAGAGGGGGAUCGGCCAAACUGGGACUGGGACACGGCCCAGACUCCUACGGGAGGCAGCAGGAGGGAAUCUUCGGCAAUGGACGAAAGGCUGACCGAGCAACGCCGCGGGAGGGAAGAAGGGUGUCGGAUCGUAAAGCUCUGUUGUAAGAGAAGAACGGGUGUGAGAGUGGAAAGUUCACACUGUGACGGUAUCUUACCAGAAAGGGACGGCUAACUACGUG
rnacentral:rRNA from 1 species